rnacentral:misc_RNA from 1 species
GAUGAAGAACGCAGCGAAAUGCGAUACGUAACGUGAAUUGCAGAAUUCAGUGAAUCAUCGAGUCUUUGAACGCACAUUGCGCCCCCUGGUAUUCCGGGGGGCAUGCCUGUCCGAGCGUCUUUGCUGCCCUCAAGCACGGCUUGUGUGUUGGGCCUCCGUCCUCCUCCCGGGGGACGGGCCCGAAAGGCAGCGGCGGCACCGCGUCCGGUCCUCGAGCGUAUGGGGCUUCGUCACCCGCUCUUGUAGGCCCGGCCGGCGCUUGCCGACACAUCAAUCUUUUUUCCAGGUUGACCUCGGAUCAGGUAGGGAUACCCGCUGAACUUAAGCAUAUCAAUAAGCGGAGGA